UACGUAGGGUGCAAGCGUUGUCCGGAAUUAUUGGGCGUAAAGAGCUUGUAGGCGGUUUGUUGCGUCUGCUGUGAAAGCCCGGGGCUCAACCCUGGGUCUGCGGUGGGUACGGGCAGACUAGAGUGUGGUAGGGGAGACUGGAAUUCCUGGUGUAGCGGUGAAAUGCGCAGAUAUCAGGAGGAACACCGAUGGCGAAGGCAGGUCUCUGGGCCACUACUGACGCUGAGAAGCGAAAGCGUGGGGAGCAAACAGG
rnacentral:rRNA from 1 species